rnacentral:rRNA from 1 species
UACCAGCACCCCGAGUGGUCGGGACGAUUAUUGGGCCUAAAGCAUCCGUAGCCGGUUCUACAAGUCUUCCGUUAAAUCCACCUGCUUAACAGAUGGGCUGCGGAGGAUACUAUAGAGCUAGGAGGCGGGAGAGGCAAGCGGUACUUAGUGGGUAGGGGUAAAAUCCGUUGAUCCAUUGAAGACCACCAGUGGCGAAGGCGGACUUGCCCAGAACGCACUCGACGGGUGAGGGAUGGAAAGCUGGGGGAGCAAACCGGG